GUAAUUGUUGACUAUCACUCAAAGAUCAACAGAGAGGUUACUUUCCACUUUUGAAGUGUACAGUGCAGCUGUAGUCCAAUUUCUAUUCUGCUUCAAAGUCUUCCGGUGUUUCUAGGGUUUUUUUUCCUGUGGUUGAAACAAAACUGAAACAAUGCCAAAUGCAUUCCAUAUUAUGUUUCUCUAUACCGAGCGAGGGAGGCUGUGGUUAUGAGUGUUCUACAAGCACUGCAAUGGAAAAACUCAGAUCUCAAGAGAAAGGGCAGAUUUAUGAAUGUAUGUAUGCUCUUUCACUUGCAGAAUUGCAACUACUGUUGGAUGAUACCAAAAGGAACUGGAGGAGGUACACGCUGAUCUUGUCAUGGUCCUGCAGGAACUUGGUUUGGCAAGAGCUGAGGAUAAAUAUGGAAGGUUAACAUGUGACUUAACUUGGUUACUUCUAAUCGCUUAUAUUAAAAAGCAAAAAAAAAAAAAUCAAACUCCAUGAAAGUCCUGAAGAGUCUCCUGGAUUUGGGAUAAAAUUGAAUUCCAUAUCACCAGGACGCCGUACUGACAAGGUUCUAAGGAAUAGUUAAACUCACUCUGCCUUUUUGCCUUUGGCAGACAGGGCAUGAGCAGAGUCUCAGUGGACCCCAAUGGGCAAAAAGUCAAAUCUCGUGCAACGGGUUCUGGCACAACAAAAACAGAAUAUAUUUGGCCAAUAAAUUUCACAGAAUUAAAAUAGCUAUAUGGUAA
rnacentral:lncRNA from 1 species